rnacentral:rRNA from 1 species
GUCUACGGCCAUGCCACCUUGAACAAGCCCAAUCCUGUCUGAUCUCGGAAGCUAAGCAGGUUCGGGCCUGGUUAGUACUUGGAUGGGAAACCACCUAGGAAGACCAGGUGAUGUAGGUG